UACGUAGGUGGCAAGCGUUGUCCGGAUUUACUGGGCGUAAAGAGCGCGCAGGCGGUCGACCAAGUCGCGUGUGAAAGCCCCCCGGCUCAACUAGGGAGGGUCACGCGAUACUGAUCGACUCGAAGGCAGGAGAGGGUAGUGGAAUUCCCGGUGUAGUGGUGAAAUGCGUAGAUAUCGGGAGGAACACCAGUGGCGAAGGCGACUACCUGGCCUGUUCUUGACGCUGAGGCGCGAAAGCUAGGGGAGCAAACGGGG
rnacentral:rRNA from 1 species